CUUAUCCAGAGAGGUGGAGGGACUGGCCCUAUGAAGCCUCGGCAGCGGACUCAUCUUUUUGAGAACUGUGCCAAUUCCAGCAAGCAGUAUGCUUGGGAGAUAAGA
rnacentral:ncRNA from 1 species